UGAUUAAGCCAUGCAAGUCGAGAGGGGUUCGGCCCUCGGCGUACUGCUCAGUAACACGUGGAUAACCUGCCCUAGGGAAGGGGAUAAUCCCGGGAAACUGGGGAUAAUACCCUAUAGGUUACAGAUGCUGGAAUGCUCUGUAAUCAAAAGUUCCGGCGCCCUAGGAUGGAUCUGCGGCCGAUUAGGUUGUUGUUGGGGUAAUGGCCCAACAAGCCAGUAAUCGGUACGGGUUGUGGGAGCAAGAGCCCGGAGUUGGAUUCUGAGACACGAAUCCAGGCCCUACGGGGCGCAGCAGGCGCGAAAACUUUACAAUGCGGGCAACCGUGAUAAGGGAACCUCGAGUGCCUGUAAAUGCAGGCUGUUCAGAUGCCUAAAACACAUCUGGAGAAAGGGCCGGGCAAGACCGGUGCCAGCCGCCGCGGUAAUACCGGCGGCUCGAGUGGUGGCCACUUUUAUUGGGCUUAAAGCGUUCGUAGCUGGGUUGUUAAGUCUCUUGGGAAAUCUGGCGGCUUAACCGUCAGGCGUCUAAGGGAUACUGGCAAUCUUGGAACCGGGAGAGGUGAGGGGUACUUCGGGGGUAGGAGUGAAAUCCUGUAAUCCUCGAGGGACCACCUGUGGCGAAGGCGCCUCACCAGAACGGCUUCGACAGUGAGGGACGAAAGCUGGGGGAGCAAACCGGAUUAGAUACCCGGGUAGUCCCAGCCGUAAACUAUGCGCGUUAGGUGUAUCGGUGACCACGAGUUACCGAGGUGCCGAAGGGAAACCGUGAAACGUGCCGCCUGGGAAGUACGGUCGCAAGGCUGAAACUUAAAGGAAUUGGCGGGGGAGCA
rnacentral:rRNA from 1 species